UUAAGCGACUAAGCGUACACGGUGGAUGCCCUGGCAGUCAGAGGCGAUGAAGGACGUGCUAAUCUGCGAAAAGCGUCGGUAAGGUGAUAUGAACCGUUAUAACCGGCGAUGUCCGAAUGGGGAAACCCAGUGCAAUUCGUUGCACUAUCGUUAACUGAAUACAUAGGUUAACGAGGCGAACCGGGGGAACUGAAACAUCUAAGUACCCCGAGGAAAAGAAAUCAACCGAGAUUCCCCCAGUAGCGGCGAGCGAACGGGGAGCAGCCCAGAGUCUGAAUCAGCUUGUGUGUUAGUGGAACGGUCUGGAAAGUCCGACGGUACAGGGUGAUAGUCCCGUACACCAAAAUGCACAGGCUGUGAACUCGAAGAGUAGGGCGGGACACGUGGUAUCCUGUCUGAAUAUGGGGGGACCAUCCUCCAAGGCUAAAUACUCCUGACUGACCGAUAGUGAACCAGUACCGUGAGGGAAAGGCGAAAAGAACCCCGGCGAGGGGAGUGAAAAAGAACCUGAAACCGUGUACGUACAAGCAGUGGGAGCACCUUCGGGUGUGACUGCGUACCUUUUGUAUAAUGGGUCAGCGACUUAUAUUCUGUAGCAAGGUUAACCGUAUAGGGGAGCCGCAGGGAAACCGAGUCUUAACUGGGCGUUAAGUUGCAGGGUAUAGACCCGAAACCCGGUGAUCUAGCCAUGGGCAGGUUGAAGGUUGGGUAACACUAACUGGAGGACCGAACCGACUAAUGUUGAAAAAUUAGCGGAUGACUUGUGGCUGGGGGUGAAAGGCCAAUCAAACCGGGAGAUAGCUGGUUCUCCCCGAAAGCUAUUUAGGUAGCGCCUCGUGAAUUCAUCUUCGGGGGUAGAGCACUGUUUCGGCUAGGGGGUCAUCCCGACUUACCAACCCGAUGCAAACUACGAAUACCGAAGAAUGUUAUCACGGGAGACACACGGCGGGUGCUAACGUCCGUCGUGAAGAGGGAAACAACCCAGACCGCCAGCUAAGGUCCCAAAGUCAUGGUUAAGUGGGAAACGAUGUGGGAAGGCACAGACAGCCAGGAUGUUGGCUUAGAAGCAGCCAUCAUUUAAAGAAAGCGUAAUAGCUCACUGGUCGAGUCGGCCUGCGCGGAAGAUGUAACGGGGCUAAACCAUGCACCGAAGCUGCGGCAGCGACACUAUGUGUUGUUGGGUAGGGGAGCGUUCUGUAAGCCUGCGAAGGUGUGCUGUGAGGCAUGCUGGAGGUAUCAGAAGUGCGAAUGCUGACAUAAGUAACGAUAAAGCGGGUGAAAAGCCCGCUCGCCGGAAGACCAAGGGUUCCUGUCCAACGUUAAUCGGGGCAGGGUGAGUCGACCCCUAAGGCGAGGCCGAAAGGCGUAGUCGAUGGGAAACAGGUUAAUAUUCCUGUACUUGGUGUUACUGCGAAGGGGGGACGGAGAAGGCUAUGUUAGCCGGGCGACGGUUGUCCCGGUUUAAGCAUGUAGGCUGAUUAUCCAGGCAAAUCCGGAUAAUCAAGGCUGAGGUGUGAUGACGAGGCACCACGGUGCUGAAGUAACAAAUGCCCUGCUUCCAGGAAAAGCCUCUAAGCAUCAGGUAACAUCAAAUCGUACCCCAAACCGACACAGGUGGUCAGGUAGAGAAUACCAAGGCGCUUGAGAGAACUCGGGUGAAGGAACUAGGCAAAAUGGUGCCGUAACUUCGGGAGAAGGCACGCUGGUGUGUAGGUGAAGUCCCUGCGGAUGGAGCUGAGACCAGUCGAAGAUACCAGCUGGCUGCAACUGUUUAUUAAAAACACAGCACUGUGCAAACACGAAAGUGGACGUAUACGGUGUGACGCCUGCCCGGUGCCGGAAGGUUAAUUGAUGGGGUUAUCCGUAAGGAGAAGCUCUUGAUCGAAGCCCCGGUAAACGGCGGCCGUAACUAUAACGGUCCUAAGGUAGCGAAAUUCCUUGUCGGGUAAGUUCCGACCUGCACGAAUGGCGUAAUGAUGGCCAGGCUGUCUCCACCCGAGACUCAGUGAAAUUGAACUCGCUGUGAAGAUGCAGUGUACCCGCGGCAAGACGGAAAGACCCCGUGAACCUUUACUAUAGCUUGACACUGAACAUUGAGCCUUGAUGUGUAGGAUAGGUGGGAGGCUUUGAAGCGUGGACGCCAGUCUGCGUGGAGCCAACCUUGAAAUACCACCCUUUAAUGUUUGAUGUUCUAACGUUGGCCCCUUACCGGGGUUGCGGACAGUGUCUGGUGGGUAGUUUGACUGGGGCGGUCUCCUCCCAAAGCGUAACGGAGGAGCACGAAGGUUAGCUAAUCCUGGUCGGACAUCAGGAGGUUAGUGCAAUGGCAUAAGCUAGCUUGACUGCGAGCGUGACGGCGCGAGCAGGUGCGAAAGCAGGUCAUAGUGAUCCGGUGGUUCUGAAUGGAAGGGCCAUCGCUCAACGGAUAAAAGGUACUCCGGGGAUAACAGGCUGAUACCGCCCAAGAGUUCAUAUCGACGGCGGUGUUUGGCACCUCGAUGUCGGCUCAUCACAUCCUGGGGCUGAAGUAGGUCCCAAGGGUAUGGCUGUUCGCCAUUUAAAGUGGUACGCGAGCUGGGUUUAGAACGUCGUGAGACAGUUCGGUCCCUAUCUGCCGUGGGCGCUGGAGAAUUGAGGGGGGCUGCUCCUAGUACGAGAGGACCGGAGUGGACGCAUCACUGGUGUUCGGGUUGUCAUGCCAAUGGCACUGCCCGGUAGCUAAAUGCGGAAGAGAUAAGUGCUGAAAGCAUCUAAGCACGAAACUUGCCCCGAGAUGAGUUCUCCCUGAGACUUUAAGUCUCCUGAAGGAACGUUAAAGACGAUGACGUUGAUAGGCCGGGUGUGUAAGCGCAGCGAUGCGUUGAGCUAACCGGUACUAAUGAACCGUGAGGCUUAACCUU
rnacentral:rRNA from 1 species